rnacentral:rRNA from 1 species
AUCGAACGCUGGCGGCAUGCCUAACACAUGCAAGUCGAACGAAUCCUGCGGGCUUGGUCGCGCAUUGAUGCGUAGCCCGUUGGAUAAUGCCUUGAGAUUCGCCUUGUCUUCCCGGAUAGCGUCCUGAUACGGGCUCUUAUCCCCCAUCCGUCCUGUGAGCGCAUUUGGGUGGUCUUCCGUUCUCUCGCUUUCAUAUUAGCCUAGGUGGGAUUAGCUAGUUGGUGGGGUAACGGCUUACCAAGGCGGCGAUCCGUAACUGGUCUGAGAGGAUGAUCAGUCAGACUGGAACUGAGACACGGUCCAGACUCCUACGGGAAGCAGCAGUGGGGAAUAUUGGACGAGGGGGGAGAGGCUGAUACAGGCAAGCCGCGUGUGUGAAGAAGGUCUUAGGAUUGGAAAGCACUGUAAGUUGGGAGGAAGGGCAGUAAGUUAAUACCUGGCUGUAUUGACGGUACCAACAGAAUAAGCACCGGCUAACUUCGUG